GUAGUGGGAGGACAGAGCGGGCAAGCGAUACGUCCGAGACCACCUCCUUCUCUGAACGCAGAUGUUCUGGAUAUUACGAUCCCCCUGCCGCGUCCGGAAGCUUUACUUCUCGGCCAACCCGCCCCUUCCGCCGAUGUGAUCGCGGCGUGACAGCGGGUUCAUCUGGCCUGCCUCAUUGGGCCACGGCGCACAGCGAACAGGAGACGGCUUCGGCAACCCGUGAAGGGACGAACUGCGGUCUACAACCUUAGAAA
rnacentral:lncRNA from 1 species